GGACUACUCGGGUUUCUAAUCCCGUUCGCUCCCCUAGCUUUCGCGUCUCAGCGUCAGAAAACGUCCAGGACCUCGCUUUCGCCACGGGCGUUCCUUCCGAUCUCAACGCAUUUCACCGCUCCACCGGAAGUUCCAGGUCCCCCUACGUCCCUCCAGACGGGGCGUUUCGGUGCCAGUUCCCCGGUUAAGCCGGGGGCUUUCAACAACCGACGUCCCCAUCCGCCUACACGCGCUUUAAGCCCAGUGAUUCCGAAUAACGUUAGCACGGUUCGUCUUACCGCGGCGGCUGGCAC
rnacentral:rRNA from 1 species